CUUCCACCAAGAACAGUGCAGCAAUCCAUUUGAGAGGAAGGAUAGAUGUGAUUGUAGCGCGCACCGGCAUGCUUAUUUGAAAGUGCAAUGUUCAAAGUAUAUGGCCUCCACAUGCCAUACAUGAAUGCUUAAUCCUUCAUUGGAACAUUCAACUAAUUGUAGCUAUACACCAGCGUUCGUGCAAAGCAUCACGCGAUUAAUGCUUCUUGGUCAAUUUUACCGCCCGAUGUAUGGUCAUCCAUUCAGGAGCAGAAAGAUAUGAUCGGCAGCUAUUAGCUAGCGAGUACGUAAACAUACGUCACACACC
rnacentral:lncRNA from 1 species